GAUGAACGCUAGCGGCAGGCCUAACACAUGCAAGUCGAGGGGUAACAGGGUAGCAAUAUCGCUGACGACCGGCGCACGGGUGAGUAAUGCAUAUGCAACCUUCCUUUAACUGGGGCAUAGCCCGGAGAAAUUCGGAUUAAUACCCCAUAACAUCAUUGAAGGGCAUCUUUUGAUGAUUAAAGCUCCGGCGGUUAAAGAUGGGCAUAUGUGCCAUUAGCUAGUUGGUGAGGUAACGGCUCACCAAGGCUACGAUGGUUAGGGGGUCUGAGAGGAUGAUCCCCCAACUGGUACUGAGACACGGACCAGACUCCUACGGGAGGCAGCAGUGAGGAAUAUUGGGCAAUGGGCGCAAGCCUGACCCAGCCAUGCCGCGUGAAGGAUGAAUGCCCUAUGGGGUUGUAAACUUCUUUUGUACGGGACAAAACUCCUGGUCGUGACCGGGAUUGAUGGUACCGUACGAAUAAGCAUCGGCUAACUCCGUGCCAGCCAGCCC
rnacentral:rRNA from 1 species